rnacentral:sRNA from 1 species
AGAGAGCGCUGUACAGCAUGGAAUGUGCGUUCCACCCCCUGUUCAGUCUCACCAGUGGGGCCUGCCGGCUGGAUUACCGCAGACCCGAGAACAGGAGCUUCUACCUGGCCCUCUACAAGCAGAUGAGCUUCCUGGAGAAGCGAGGCUGCCCGCGCACGGCGCUGGAGUACUGCAAGCUCAUCCUGAGUCUCGAGCCGGAUGAGGACCCCCUCUGCAUGCUGCUGCUCAUCGACCACCUGGCCUUGCGGGCCCGGAACUACGAGUACCUGAUCCGCCUCUUCCAGGAGUGGGAGGCUCAUCGGAACCUGUCCCAGCUCCCGAAUUUUGCCUUCUCCGUUCCACUGGCGUAUUUCCUGCUGAGCCAGCAGACAGAUCUCCCUGAGUGUGAGCGGAGCUCUGCCAGGCAGAAGGCCUCUCUCCUGAUACAGCAGGCGCUCACCAUGUUCCCUGGAGUCCUCCUGCCCCUGCUCGAGUCUUGCAGUGUGCGGCCCGACGCCAGCGUUUCCAGUCACCGCUUCUUUGGACCCAGUGCUGAAAUAAGGUAAAGAGUGGCUGGCGGUGCCCAUCUGUGGGUGCCUGUGGGUUCGGAGCCUGGGAGCCAUUUUCACUCAUCCUGAGAGGCCCUGAGGGACCUGCUUCCAGCAGCAGGAGGGGCUGUGGUGGCGGCCUCGGGGACUGUCAUUUGACAUGGGAGGGCUCUGGAGCCCUCAUCUGUGUGGAAAAGCCCAGGUGGGACAGCUGAGCAGCCUCCAGCUUAAAACCGAGGGUCAUAUAAAGAGGGUGCCAGGCGUGGCGGCACAUGCCUGUAAUCUCAGCUUUUUGGGAGGCCGGCUUGUGCCUGGGAGGUCAAAGGUACAGUGAGCUCUGUUUGUGCUCCUGCACUCCAGCCUGGGUGAUGGUGAGACCCCGUCUCAAAAAACAGAAUAAACAAAGAGGGAGCAAACACAGGAGAAAGUGCACGCCGAGGGGUCAUCCCCUGGCCCUCCAGGGCUCGCCCUGUGUGCACGCAGAUGGACCCGCCCUGGGUGCAUUUUCACAUUUUUGUGACGUCAGUCCUGCUUCCUAAAGAACAUAACCUGCCCAACAGGCUCACGGCACAUACCUGUGUGCCCCAGCCCCACGCCCUCAGGCCAGCAGCCCAGGGGCCUCCUUUAACUCCAGGCCACAGGGCACUCCCUGGACCCCCCAUCUGCCCAUGCGUGGGGCUCUGCUAGCCUCGAGGCAGGCCGUGGCCUGAAGAGGGGUUCUGCUCACAGCCCUUGCUCUCCCCCAGCCAGCCCCCUGCCCUGAGCCAGCUGGUGAACCUGUACCUUGGGAGGUCACACUUUCUCUGGAAAGAGCCUGCCACCAUGAGCUGGCUGGAGGAGAACGUCCACGAGGUUCUGCAAGCAGUGGACGCCGGGGACCCAGCCGUGGAAGCCUGUGAGAACCGGCGGAAGGUGCUCUACCAGCGUGCACCCAGGAAUAUCCACCGCCAUGUGAUCCUCUCUGAGAUCAAGGAAGCCGUCGCUGCCCUGCCCCCGGACGUGACCACGCAGUCUGUGAUGGGGUUUGAUCCUCUGCCUCCUUCGGACACAAUCUACUCCUACGUCAGGCCAGAGAGGCUAAGUCCCAUCAGCCAUGGAAACACCAUUGCUCUCUUCUUCCGGUCACUGUUGCCAAACUAUACCAUGGAGGGGGAGAGGCCCGAGGAAGGAGUGGCUGGGGGUCUGAACCGCAACCAGGGCCUGAACAGGCUGAUGCUGGCUGUGCGCGACAUGAUGGCCAACUUCCACCUCAACGACCUGGAGGCGCCGCACGAGGACGACGCUGAGGGGGAGGGGGAGUGGGACUGAGCGUCCGCAGAGGUGACCAAAAAGCUGUAUGAUGAUGUUCCCGAUUUCUGUGCUGGUCGGAGUCGGCCAGUUGCCUGAAGUAGGGAAGCUGACUGUGUCGCUCCCUGGUCCA